UACGGGGGGGGCAAGCGUUGUUCGGAUUUAUUGGGCGUAAAGGGCGCGUAGGCGGAAAUGCCAGUCAGAUGUGAAAUCCCGGGGCUCAACCCCGGAACAGCAUUUGAAACUACAUUUCUAGAGGGUAGGCGGAGAAAACGGAAUUCCACAAGUAGCGGUGAAAUGCGUAGAUAUGUGGAAGAACACCAGUGGCGAAGGCGGUUUUCUAGCUUAUACCUGACGCUGAGGCGCGAAAGCAAGGGGAGCAAACAGG
rnacentral:rRNA from 1 species